rnacentral:rRNA from 1 species
UAGGGAAUCUUCCACAAUGGGCGAAAGCCUGAUGGAGCAACGCCGCGUGCGUGAUGAAGGGUUUCGGCUCGUAAAACACUGUUGUAAGAGAAGAAUGACAUUGAGAGUAACUGUUCAAUGUGUGACGAUAUCUUACCAGAAAGGAACGGCUAAAUACGUGCCAC